rnacentral:rRNA from 1 species
UUGGAGGGCAAGUCUGGUGCCAGCAGCCGCGGUAAUUCCAGCUCCAAUAGCGUAUAUUAAAGUUGUUGCAGUUAAAAAGCUCGUAGUUGAAUUUCGGGAUCAAUAUGUCUGUCGUGCCUUUGGUACGUACGGGUAUAAUUGGUUUCUACCUUCUGAUGAACCUUGAUGCCAUUAAUUUGGUGUCUUGGGAACUCAGGACUGUUACCUUGAAAAAAUUAGAGUGUUUAAAGCAGGCAUACGCUUGAAUACAUUAGCAUGGAAUAAUGAAAUAGGACGUUCGAUUCUAUUUUGUUGGUUUCUAGGGUCGACGUAAUGAUUAAUAGGGAUAGUUGGGGGCAUUAGUAUUCAAUUGUCAGAGGUGAAAUUCUUGGAUUUAUUGAAGACUAACUACUGCGAAAGCAUUUGCCAAGGAUGUUUUCAUUAAUCAAGAACGAAAGUUAGGGGAUCGAAGACGAUCAGAUACCGUCGUAGUCUUAACCAUAAACUAUGCCGACUAGGGGAUCGGGAUGAUGUUAAUUUUUAAUGUACUCAUUCGGCGCC